AGGGGUAUAGCUCAGUUGGUAGAGCGGCGGUCUCCAAAACCGUAGGUCGCGGGUUCAAAUCCUGCUGCCCCUGCCA
rnacentral:tRNA from 3 species